AUUGGACAAUGAUGCCCAAGUAGAUGCUACUGACGUCAUGAAACACACUCCACUGUUCCGAGCCUGCGAGAUGGGACACAGAGACGUGAUUCAGACGCUUAUUAAAGGCGGAGCACGAGUCGACCUGGUUGACCAAGAUGGACAUUCACUUCUACACUGGGCAGCACUGGGAGGAAACGCUGACGUCUGCCAGAUCCUGAUAGAAAACAAGAUCAACCCAAACGUGCAGGACUACGCGGGAAGAACCCCACUUCAGUGCGCUGCAUAUGGAGGGUACAUCAACUGCAUGGCUGUGCUCAUGGAGAACAAUGCAGACCCCAACAUCCAAGACAAAGAGGGACGAACAGCUCUGCACUGGUCCUGUAACAACGGCUACCUCGAUGCCAUUAAACUACUGCUGGACUUCGCUGCUUUCCCUAACCAGAUGGAGAACAAUGAGGAGAGAGUCUGCCUUUGUUAUGGAAGAAACUGAAGGUGCUUCUCUUUAAGCUCCAAAUGGAAAACAGAAGGGGAAGAUAAGAAUCUCCCAAAUUAGUGAUUUCGUUAAAGAACUUCUAGGCCAAAAGGAUGGCUCUGCAGGUACACACCCCUUGACUAUGCAUUGCUUGGUGAGCGCCAUGAGGUGAUCCAGUUCAUGCUGGAACACGG
rnacentral:lncRNA from 1 species